rnacentral:rRNA from 1 species
GCGGCUUAAUUUGACUCAACGCGGGGUAAUUUACCAGGUAUAACAUGGUAUAAUAUUUUAUCAUGAUAGUGGUGCAUGGCCGUUUCCAAUGGAUGCUGUGAAGUAAUGAUUAAUUUCAACAAGAUGUGAGACCCUCAUUUUGACAGAUGUAGUGAUACAUAUGAAGGAGAGGAUUAAAACAGGUCCGUUAUGCCCUAAGAUAAUCUGGGUUGCACGCGCAAUACAAUAAUAUUUGAUAUUAUAAGGGAUAAUAUAAUGUAAGAUAUAUUUGAACACGGAAUUGCUAGUAAAUUUUAUUUAAUAAGUAGAAUUGAAUGAGUCCCUGUUCUUUGUACACACCGCCCGUCGCUAUCUAAGAUGGUAUUAUCUAUGAACAAAUUUAUAACGUGAAUAGAUAGUACUAGAUCUGAUAUAAGUCGUAACAUGGUUGCUGUUGGAGAACCAUUAGCAGGAUCAUAA